rnacentral:rRNA from 1 species
CAGUCGCCACGGUAAUACGGAGGGGGCUAGCGUUGUUCGGAAUUACUGGGCGUAAAGCGCACGUAGGCGGCUUGGUAAGUUAGAGGUGAAAGCCCGGAGCUCAACUCCGGAAUUGCCUUUAAGACUGCCGAGCUAGUAGGUGAGAGAGGUAAGUGGAAUUCCGAGUGUAGAGGUGAAAUUCGUAGAUAUUCGGAAGAACGCCAGUGGCGAAGGCGGCUUACUGGCUCAUUCUAGACGCUGAGGUGCGAAAGCGUGGGGAGCAAACAGGAUUAGAUACCCCAGUAGUCCCUGUCUCUUAACA